CGGAUAGCAUCAUAGCAAGACAAAAUAGGAAAUAUUUUAUUUACACAAGAAUUGUUUUAGUGAUCCUUUUAAGUAAAGGACAAUGUUUAUGUUUGAUGAUUCUAAAUCUUGAUGAAGUAGACAUGGAUAUUAUUGAUCCAUUCUUAUCUCAUAUUUCAUUGGUGUGGGGUUAAUCUAAAAUUCUAAUCAUAGACUUGUUUUUCCAAUUGAUUUUUGUCUUUUGUCAAUG
rnacentral:lncRNA from 1 species